GCCUGGGUGGCUCAGUCGGUUAAGCGUCCGACUUCGGCUCAGGUCACGAUCUCAUGGUUUGUGGGUUCGAGCCCCGCGUCGGGCU
rnacentral:tRNA from 1 species